rnacentral:rRNA from 1 species
UGGGGAAUAUUGCACAAUGGGCGCAAGCCUGAUGCAGCCAUGCCGCGUGUAUGAAGAAGGCCUUCGGGUUGUAAAGUACUUUCAGUCGGGAGGAAGGUGGUAAGGUUAAUAACCUUAUCAAUUGACGUUACCGACAGAAGAAGCACCGGCUAACUCCGUGCCAGCAGCCGCGGUAAUACGGAGGGUGCAAGCGUUAAUCGGAAUUACUGGGCGUAAAGCGAACGCAGGCGGUCUGUCAAGUCGGAUGUGAAAUCCCCGGGCUCAACCUGGGAACUGCAUUCGAAACUGGCAGGCUAGAGUCUUGUAGAGGGGGGUAGAAUUCCAGGUGUAGCGGUGAAAUGCGUAGAGAUCUGGAGGAAUACCGGUGGCGAAGGCGGCCCCCUGGACAAAGACUGACGCUCAGGUGCGAAAGCGUGGGGAGCAAACAGG